rnacentral:rRNA from 1 species
GUUAGGAAUAUUGGACAAUGGGCGCAAGCCUGAUCCAGCCAUGCCGCGUGAGUGAUGAAGGCCUUCGGGUUGUAAAGCUCUUUAGUCCACGAAUAUAAUGACUGUAGUGGAAGAAUAAGCCCCGGCUAACUUCGUGCCAGCAGCCGCGGUAAUACGAAGGGGGCGAGCGUUAUUCAGAAUCACUGGGCGUAAAGCGUGCGUAGGCUGUUUUGUAAGUCAGAAGUGAAAGCCCAGGGCUUAACCCUGGAAUUGCUUUUGAAACUACAAGACUCGAAUUCGGGAGAGGAUAGCGGAAUUGUCAGUGUAGCAGUGAAAUGCGUAGAUAUUGACAGGAACACCAGUGGCGCAAGCGGCUAUCUGGACCGAUAUUGACGCUGAGGCACGAAAGCGUGGGGAGCAAACAGGAUUAGAUACCCUGGUAGUCC